rnacentral:lncRNA from 1 species
CGUCAUGUCAAGUAUCACAACACAUGCAUUAUAGUAAUCAAAGUACAACAAAACAUUGCAUUAAUAGUAAUAAUUUUACACGGUUACUUUACAAUACUUCAAAGUAAUACAAGUAAUAGAAUAAAUACAGCGUGGUACUAAGCUAUCUUCAUCAACAACUCCGGGGGUGUACCUGUCUAAUGCUAACCUGAGAAUACAAGUUAUUUGAAAAGCGAGUAUCAGCAUUUUUACAAAUGCUGGUGAGUUCAUAAGCAUUUAGUGACAUUUAUUCAAAUAACUUUAUAAAGUAGUAGUUUAAGUGUUUACUGUGUAUUAGAGUUCUUUCCAGAAAAUCCUAUAUUUUCUUGAAUAAAACAGCCUUCUACCAAGACUGGUCAGUGUUCUGUGGUAAAAAGUAGUUUUCCCUUAAUUGCUAUCAUUAUCAAAAUACUAAAUUUGAUUAUUAAAGAAAGCAAGAGGCGUCAGGGAAAUACAUAUGCCUCAGCAGUGAGGACUACUGACUAAGGCAAAGGAAUCAUAGACUCCAGGAAAGUAUCGAACAAACGACAUGCCUGGUUCAGUCUAACAAGUGGAGACACAGACCCCAGAAGGUGCCAAAUGAAAGGUACAGCUAGUAAGGUCUAAAACAGUGAAAAACAGACCCUAGACAGUAUCAAAUGAAAGAUACGUCUUGUAAGGUCAAAACAGAGAAAGCAGACCCCAGACAGUAUCAACUGAAAGAUACGUCUUGUAAAGUCAAAAUAGUGUGAGUCUGAAAAUGAAUUACAAGCAUACAAUGUAAAUUGCCGGUGAAAUACCGUUACCUUAAGGCCAAUGAAUUAUAAGGUAACCCGGGAUACUCGUAACCAUACUGACUAGAGUUCGAGACACCCUACAAGCUUCUAUAAUGUGACAUCUGUCACCCGUAGGACUGGUAAGUCGGGACUGUAGCUAGCAGUCUGGGUGCGGGGUUGUCAAUCCCGUAUAGAUCUGUACACACAAUGUCCGCUCUCCCUACAAGAGAUUCUGGUUACCAACUAGACGACGGAAAAGGCCGUGUCCUGAAGAUGUAUCCCAAACAGUGGGUAGAGACUUCCAAAGAGUGGGUAGUGUGUAAGUGCUGAACUAGAGGUAGAGACUUCCAAAUAGUGGGUAGUGUGUUUCUAAUGUAAGUGUAGACUAGAGGUAGAGACUCUUAACUGAAUUGACUAAAGAAUUCCUGUAUGUCCAUACUCAUAUACAUAAUAUAUAACUAAUGAAUCAAAUGACCUUCGGACGACCAUCCGAUCUCACCAGACCACAUCUCAACAAAGAAAAGGAAAUAGGGCGGACGAGCCUUCCUAAGUCUUUCAAUCAUUACUUAUACGUACCUAUAUAAGCACAGACAUACAUCUACUACGACUGAGUGUGUAUUAAGUAGAAGUGAUUUUUGUGAAGUAGGAUUGUCUAAAAAGUGAAGUAGGAGCGGUUGCAAGUGAAGUAGGAGUGUCAAACAAGUAUAAACGUAUCGCGAAGUAGAGACGACAAUAAGUGAAGUAAGAGCGUCUAUUAGGUAUAAGCGACUACAUGUAUAAGUGAAAUAGAGGCAAUAACAGGUAUCAGCGUAUCACGAAGAGAAAGCAUUAUCAAGUAGGAGUUUAAAAUACAUGAAAGCGGAGCAGUAGCAACUAACAAGUAAGAAUAUAUGUCGUAAAAGGGAACUUUGAGGAAAAGCCUUUAUACUAGGGGAAAAAUCAUAAUUUGUAUUCUUUUGUAAAAUAUGUUUGAAAACCUUUGGAAAUAUUUCAUAAACCAGUUUAAAAUGAAUUAGGAUAAAACAGUAUAAGUAAGAGUUUUGAAACAAAUGAAAACCUUUUAGAAAACCAUUAUAGUGUCCUACUCGGUAAAACAGUGUACAGUGUGGUAAAAUCUUGUGCAUGCGGGUUAUCAAUCACAUGUGAUUGAUAUGAUAACUGGCAUGUUUAACUUGUAUUCCCCCCCUANUGAUAACUGGAAUGUUUAACUUGUAUUCCCCCCCUAUAAAACAUAUAAAAACAUUUAAAAGGUUCAUUCAGGGGUACGAACUCACCUGGUGUAAGUAGGUCCGACGAAGGUGCCGUUUGGGCGUUCGGUGUCAUGUAAGGACUUGAACACACACAAUGACCUAUUUAACAUAUGAUAACGUACGUUCACAUUCAAUUAGUAUAUUUAAUACUAAUUAAACAAGUAUACGCACUCAAAGGAGCGGAAAACACUUUGGUUAAGUGUUUGGGGUGUCCCGGGUAGCGUCUAAAGGUGUGUAUGGCUUAGGAAUGGAGUUUACUCUCCGAGACUAAACUCCCAACACCAUGUUUACGGCCCAGGGACUACUCACCAUUAGUUUACGGCCGUAAACUCAUGGUGAGGGGUUCUAGUGUGUUUUAAAGCUUAAUCUUGUUAGUGGGAUUUUUGUAAGUCCAAUUCCAAAAAGGCAUGUGUAGGUUUAAGGCUGCUAAGGGCUUCUUAAUGGAGUUUACAGCCCAGAGACAACUCCUAAGGGAGUUUACAGCCAUAAACUUUCAUUGCUUGAGUUUAUUGAAGUUUUAAGCCCCUAAUACCUUCCUAGCAUUUUAUAGAAAUAGUCUAAGGCCAUUUGGGGAACAAAACUUAAUGUUUUGACAUGUUUAAGGGUGUUUACGGCCUUGGUACAUGCCUGGGCCAUAAACUCCUUUUUCCCUUCAUUUUGUUGUGUUUAAUUGAUCAAAACCCGAAAUAUCAAGUCCCUAAAUUAUGUAUUAAGCCUAAGGGUGGUUCGGGAGUGUUCUUGGGGCCCUUAUGCAAGAUUAAGAGGUGUUUACGGCCAAAGCAUGUGCUUGGGCCGUAAACUCUCUUUUAUGCCCUAAAUCAUUGUGUUUUAAUGUUCAAACACUCCUAGGCUAAUCCCUUAAUUUAUUUCCAAGAUUUUAGGGACAUUUUGGGGUCAUUUUGGCCUUAUUUAAGGUGUUUACGGCCUAAGGAGGAGCUUAGGCUGUGAACUCCUUUUCAAAAGCUUAAAUGGUCCAAUUUUAAGCUAUAAACACGAAUCAUAAUGUUUCGAGUAAGCUAGGGUAAGCAGACUUACGAUUUGGAAGCGUUUGGUUGUGGAUUCGGGUCGAAAACGAGUGUAGAGAGAGAGAGAGAGUAUAGAGAGAGAGUGUAAAAAGUCUCCAAAUGGGGUUUACUCCCCUAUAUAUAUGGGUGGGAGUUGGAGCUCAGUGGGAAUCUACCCGAUACUGCCGUUAUAUGGGGCUUUUGGUCGCGCCCGAUUUAGUGGUCGUAAUAAUAAAAACAAACUUUUCCAUUUAAAUGGAAAUAUGUAUUAUGUGUUUUUAUUUCCUUUUAUCACGACUUAACGGCAUAUUAAAUGUAAACAAAUGGAAUGUUUAUUAAAUUGACGACCUCUAAUUAACGGAACUUUUAUAAACUGGAAUAUUCCAUUAACGGUAACGGGGAAAUGUAACGGAACAACUUGGGUUGUCACAUCAUCCCUCCGUUAGAGGGAAUUUCGUCCCGAAAUUCAGGUCUAGGCAAGGAAGUCGGUAUGAAUGGCCAAGUGGAGGUAUGAGAGUAUUUCCUAUACGGUUGGCCUCACAUUACCAAGUGAUCUAGGGUCUGUGUUUUUCAUUCCAACACACCCUUACGUACGGGAUGCGGAUUCCGUCUCGUGUAGCUAGUGGGUUCCAACUGGUGUAUCUACAAGGUUAGGGUUCUCAAUGGAUUCUAUCAAGAUGAGUGGGGCACGAAGAGUGUUGUCGGGAAAUCACAUAUCAAGUCCAAGAAGUGGAUCUUGAAAAUCUACAAAAUGGAAUGAUUUCACAGAUGAAAUCAUGUAAGAUUACUAGAUCACCUAAGAUAUCAACUAGUUAGGGCAAGAAACUUACGAGUUUUGAAGAUCGGGGACGAAGAUCGGGACGGUACUUGAGAGGAUUUGGGCCAAGGAAAUGAAAGAAAUGGACAAAUAGCCUUCAUCUUCACCAUAUAAGGUGAGUUUACGGCCCACAUGGAGUUUACGGCCGUAAAUUCCGAUGUGGUGGCCAUGAACUCAUGGUUAAUGUGCUUAAGGCUCGGUCUUUGUGCUAUAAAUUCUGCAAAUAAACCCUGACACUUCUUCCUUAAGUGUACAAGGCUCAGAACUCUCAAACAGACUCUAAAUUGUGCUGAAUGAUAGUAGGAAUGACUUUGACUUUCUAUUGACUUGGUAUGUUGUACAGAAUGGAAAUUUCAAUAAACCCUGACACUUCUUCCUUAAGUGUACAAGGCUCAGAACUCUCAAACAGACUCUAAAUUGUGCUGAAUGAUAGUAGGAAUGACUUUGACUUUCUAUUGACUUGGUAUGUUGUACAGAAUGGAAAUUUCGGGUUGUCACAUCAUCCCCCUGUUAAAGGGAAUUUCGUCCCAAAAUUAGAAUUUUAAGUAAGGAAGUAGGCAUGAAUAAUCGAGCAAGGAGAUGGGGAAACUUCCUAAUCGAUUUGCCCUCGUGUUCAUAAGUGACAUCGGGUCCUCGGUUGGUAUCCCAACGAACCUUCACUAACGGGCGAUGGAGUUUGCCUUGUCUGUUUGACCGCUCGGUCGAGGGUCACUAUGGUUCUUCCACGAAGGCGAGGAUCUCGUUGAUCUCGAUCUUGUCGAGUGGACUUACGAGAGUCCUAAUGGAAAGGUACGGUUUCAAGUUCGAGACGUGAAGGCUAAAAUGUACCUUACUGAGUUCGUGGUGUAGGUUGGGUUUGUGAGUUACAAGACUGAUUUUGGCAUGAAUCUCGGAGGUCCUAACUAUUUUUGAUUUGGCUUACCACGCUUUCUGAAGCGUAUCAAGCCUUCCUGGAGUGAGAUUUCCAAAAGGAUUUGGCCUCUCACUUGAAAUUCCAAGGUUUUCUUCCUCUUGCUUGUCUUCUCAGUCAAGGGCCACUCCCUUCUGAGUCAAAGUCAUAAGAGGUUUCGUAAUUCACGAGGAGUUCUUAAUGAACUAUCGACAGUAGGUCAACGAGAUCUAAAAUUUGGCGAAUUCCUGUCGGCAUCCUCGGUGUUGAUAAAUUCUCAGCGGUUUUGAUUUUUGGCAGGGUCCUUAAGAAUUCCCACAUUACUAGUAAUGUGUCUUAGGAAUUUGACACUUCAAAUUUAAAAACUCGCAUUUUAGAGAACUUCGCGUAAAGCUUCUCUGAUCGUAAUGUUUCUAGGGUUUGUUGUAGAUGCUCUUUAUGAUUUCCUUCUUACUACGAGAGUAGAUAAGUAAGUCAUUUCAAAAAGACAAUGACGAACUGAUCCAAGUAAGAAUGGCGUACCCUAUUCAUUAAGUAGAUGAAUAUUACAGGUGUAUUGGUCCAAUCCGAGAGGGAUCACUACGGACUCGUAGUGUCCGCAUUGAGUUUGGAAAGGUUGUCUUCGGGACAUCUUCCUUUAAAACUCGUAACUGAUGAUGUUAUGACCUCAGACGUAUUUCUGAAAAGUAAAUAGUUCCUUGCGGUGGGUCAACCAAGUCUGUCUUCUCGAAGAAUAAGACUGGAGCUCUCAAAGGUGAGGAGCUUGGUCUUAUUCUAUUGUUGAGUAGUCGUUAAGCUGUCCGAACAGUUCUUCUAUCUCCAUUUGUCACACCCCAAAACCGGAACGAUGGAAACGUUCUGGGGUGGAUGACGUCAUGUCAAGUAUCACAACACAUGCAUUAUAGUAAUCAAAGUACAAAAAAACAUUGCAUUAAUAGUAAUAAUUUUACAUGGUUACUUUACAAUACAUCAAAGUAAUACAAGUAAUAGAAUAAAUACAACGCGGUACUAAGCUAUCUUCAUCAACAGCUCCGGGGGUGUACCUGUCUAAUGCUAACCUGAGAAUACAAGUUAUU